rfam:Picea glauca, whole genome shotgun sequence.
UACAACAUAGUGUUAAUGUAAUGAAUCCCAUUAGAACUAUGUGGUUAAGCACGCUCAAGCUAGAGUAGUAAUGGGAUGAGUGAUCGCCCGGGAAGUUAUAGUGUUUUAC